CCACUGCUAACGAGUCCAAAACAGGACGAAACAGCUGUCCAGUGC
rfam:Echinostoma caproni strain Egypt genome assembly, scaffold: ECPE_scaffold0015747